GACGAACGCUGGCGGCGUGCUUAACACAUGCAAGUCGAACGAAGAGCGAUGGAAGCUUGCUUCUCUCAAUCUUAGUGGCGAACGGGUGAGUAACGCGUAAUCAACCUGCCCUUCAGAGGGGGACAACAGUUGGAAACGACUGCUAAUACCGCAUACGAUCCAAUCUCGGCAUCGGGACUGGAUGAAAGGUGGCCUCUAUUUAUAAGCUAUCACUGAAGGAGGGGAUUGCGUCUGAUUAGCUAGUUGGAGGGGUAACGGCCCACCAAGGCGAUGAUCAGUAGCCGGUCUGAGAGGAUGAACGGCCACAUUGGGAGUGAGACACGGCCCAGACUCCUACGGGAGGCAGCAGUGGGGAAUCUUCCGCAAUGGACGAAAGUCUGACGGAGCAACGCCGCGUGAGUGAUGACGGCCUUCGGGUUGUAAAGCUCUGUUAAUCGGGACGAAUGGUUCUUGUGCGAAUAGUGCGAGGAUUUGACGGUACCGGAAUAGAAAGCCACGGCUAACUACGUG
rnacentral:rRNA from 1 species